AAAUGAAUUGACGGGGGCCCGCACAAGCAGCGGAGCAUGUGGUUUAAUUCGAAGCAACGCGAAGAACCUUACCAGGUCUUGACAUCCAACUAAAGGUAUAGAGAUAUACUGUUCCUUCGGGAGAGAUUGAGACAGGUGGUGCAUGGUUGUCGUCAGCUCGUGUCGUGAGAUGUUGGGUUAAGUCCCGCAACGAGCGCAACCCCUACAAACAGUUGCCAGUACGUAAUGGUAGGCACUCUGUUAGGACUGCCGUGGAUAACACGGAGGAAGGUGGGGACGACGUCAAAUCAUCAUGCCCCUUAUGACCUGGGCUACACACGUGCUACAAUGGCUGUUACAAAGAGAAGCGAUACCGUAAGGUGGAGCGAAUCUCAAAAAGGCAGUCCCAGUUCGGAUUGUGGGCUGCAACCCGCCCACAUGAAGUUGGAGUUGCUAGUAAUCGCGAAUCAGAAUGUCGCGGUGAAUGCGUUCCCGGGCCUUGUACACACCGCCCGU
rnacentral:rRNA from 1 species